CAAGACAACUUUACGGAGUUGACGAUUGACGGAGCGAAGCGACGUCAAAGCGUUCAUUAAAGUCGAGUUGGCUUAGGGAUACGUUCGUUGGGUAGGGGAGCGUUCUGUAAGCCUGUGAAGGUGUGUCGUGAGGCAUGCUGGAGGUAUCAGAAGUGCGAAUGCUGACAUAAGUAACGAUAAAGCGGGUGAAAAGCCCGCUCGCCGGAAGACCAAGGGUUCCUGUCCAACGUUAAUCGGGGCAGGGUGAGUCGACCCCUAAGGCGAGGCCGAAAGGCGUAGUCGAUGGGAAACGGGUUAAUAUUCCCGUACUUGGUGUUACUGCGAAGGGGGGACGGAGAAGGCUAUGUUGGCCGGGCGACGGUUGUCCCGGUUUAAGCGUGUAGGUGUGUGUUCCAGGUAAAUCCGGUUCACUUUAACACUGAGGCGUGAUGACGAGGCACUACGGUGCUGAAGCAACAAAUGCCCUGCUUCCAGGAAAAGCCUCUAAGCAUCAGGUAACAUCAAAUCGUACCCCAAACCGACACAGGUGGUCAGGUAGAGAAUACCAAGGCGCUUGAGAGAACUCGGGUGAAGGAACUAGGCAAAAUGGUGCCGUAACUUCGGGAGAAGGCACGCUGACACGUAGGUGAAGUGAUUUACUCACGGAGCUGAAGUCAGUCGAAGAUACCAGCUGGCUGCAACUGUUUAUUAAAAACACAGCACUGUGCAAACACGAAAGUGGACGUAUACGGUGUGACGCCUGCCCGGUGCCGGAAGGUUAAUUGAUGGGGUCAGCGCAAGCGAAGCUCCUGAUCGAAGCCCCGGUAAACGGCGGCCGUAACUAUAACGGUCCUAAGGUAGCGAAAUUCCUUGUCGGGUAAGUUCCGACCUGCACGAAUGGCGUAAUGAUGGCCAGGCUGUCUCCACCCGAGACUCAGUGAAAUUGAACUCGCUGUGAAGAUGCAGUGUACCCGCGGCAAGACGGAAAGACCCCGUGAACCUUUACUAUAGCUUGACACUGAACAUUGAGCCUUGAUGUGUAGGAUAGGUGGGAGGCUUUGAAGUGUGGACGCCAGUCUGCAUGGAGCCGACCUUGAAAUACCACCCUUUAAUGUUUGAUGUUCUAACGUGGACCCGUAAUCCGGGUUGCGGACAGUGUCUGGUGGGUAGUUUGACUGGGGCGGUCUCCUCCUAAAGAGUAACGGAGGAGCACGAAGGUUGGCUAAUCCUGGUCGGACAUCAGGAGGUUAGUGCAAUGGCAUAAGCCAGCUUGACUGCGAGCGUGACGGCGCGAGCAGGUGCGAAAGCAGGUCAUAGUGAUCCGGUGGUUCUGAAUGGAAGGGCCAUCGCUCAACGGAUAAAAGGUACUCCGGGGAUAACAGGCUGAUACCGCCCAAGAGUUCAUAUCGACGGCGGUGUUUGGCACCUCGAUGUCGGCUCAUCACAUCCUGGGGCUGAAGUAGGUCCCAAGGGUAUGGCUGUUCGCCAUUUAAAGUGGUACGCGAGCUGGGUUUAGAACGUCGUGAGACAGUUCGGUCCCUAUCUGCCGUGGGCGCUGGAGAACUGAGGGGGGCUGCUCCUAGUACGAGAGGACCGGAGUGGACGCAUCACUGGUGUUCGGGUUGUCAUGCCAAUGGCACUGCCCGGUAGCUAAAUGCGGAAGAGAUAAGUGCUGAAAGCAUCUAAGCACGAAACUUGCCCCGAGAUGAGUUCUCCCUGAGACUUAG
rnacentral:rRNA from 1 species